rnacentral:rRNA from 1 species
CGAUGAUGGAGGAGCUUGCUCUUCCUGAUUAGUGGCGCACGGGUGAGUAUACCAUAGAUAAUGUACCCCUUAGUUUGGGAUAGCCACUGGAAACGGUGAUUAAUACCAGAUACUCCUUCUUGUCACAGGGCGAGUCGGGAAAGUUUUUUCGCUAAGGGAUCAGUCUAUGUCCUAUCAGCUAGUUGGUGAGGUAAUGGCUCACCAAGGCUAUGACGGGUAUCUGGUUUGAGAGGAUGAUCAGACACACUGGAACUGAGACACGGUCCAGACUCCUACGGGAGGCAGCAGUGAGGAAUAUUGCACAAUGGAGGAAACUCUGAUGCAGCAACGCCGCGUGGAGGAUGACGCAUUUCGGUGUGUAAACUCCUUUUAAGAGGGAAGAUAAUGACGGUACCUCUUGAAUAAGCACCGGCUAACUCCGUGCCAGCAGCCGCGGUAAUACGGAGGGUGCAAGCGUUACUCGAAAUCACUGGGCGUAAAGGGUGCGUAGGCUGACUUUUAAGUCAGGUGUGAAAUCCAAUGGCUUAACCAUUGAACUGCACUUGAAACUGGGAGUCUAGAGUUCAGAAGGGGCAGAUGGAAUUAGUGGUGUAGGGGUAAAAUCCGUAGAUAUCACUAGGAAUAUCAAAAGCGAAGGCGAUCUGCUGGGAUGAUACUGACGCUGAGGCACGAAAGCGUGUGGAGCAAACAGGAUUAGAUACCCUGGUAGUCCACGCCCUAAACGAUGAAUGCUAGUCGUCGGGGAGCUCGUCUCUUCGGUGAUGCACUUAACAGAUUAAGCAUUCCGCCUGGGGAGUACGG